ACGGCUCAGUAACACGUGGAUAACCUGCCCUAAGGAAGGGGAUAACCCCGGGAAACUGGGGAUAAUACCCUAUAGGUUACAGAUGCUGGAAUGCUCUGUAACCGAAAGUUCCGGCGCCCUAGGAUGGAUCUGCGGCCGAUUAGGUUGUUGUCGGGGUAACGGCCCAACAAGCCAGUAAUCGGUACGGGUUGUGGGAGCAAGAGCCCGGAGUUGGAUUCUGAGACACGAAUCCAGGCCCUACAGGGCGCAGCAGGCGCGAAAACUUUACAAUGCGGGCAACCGUGAUAAGGGAACCUCGAGUGCCUGUAUAUGCAGGCUGUCUGGGUGUCUAAAACACACCUAAAGAAAGGGCCGGGCAAGACCGGUGCCAGCCGCCGCGGUAAUACCGGCGGCUCGAGUGGUGGCCACUUUUAUUGGGCUUAAAGCGUUCGUAGCUGGGUUAUUAAGUCCCUUGGGAAAUCCGACGGCUUAACCGUCGGGCGUCUAAGGGAUACUGGCAAUCUUGGAACCGGGAGAGGUGAGGGGUACUUCGGGGGUAGGAGUGAAAUCCUGUAAUCCUCGAGGGACCACCUGUGGCGAAGGCGCCUCACCAGAACGGCUUCGACAGUGAGGGACGAAGGCUGGGGGAGCAAACCGGAUUAGAUACCCGGGUAGUCCCAGCCGUAACGAUGUG
rnacentral:rRNA from 1 species